AAUUCGAUGCAACGCGAAGAACCUUACCUGGGCUUGACAUCCCCGGGAAUCCCCUGGAAACAGGGAGUGCCCUUCGGGAACCCGGUGACAGUGCUGCAUGGCUGUCGUCAGCUCGUGUCGUGAGAUGUUGGGUUAAGUCCCGCAACGAGCGCAACCCUUGUCUUUAAUUGCCAUCAUUUAGUUGGGCACUUUAAAGAGACUGCCGGUGUUAAGCCGGAGGAAGUGGGGAUGACGUCAAGUCCUCAUGGCCUUUAUGCCCAGGGCUACACACGUGCUACAAUGGGCGGUACAAAGAGAAGCAACCUCGCGAGGGUGAGCAAAUCUCAAAAAGCCGUUCUCAGUUCGGAUUGAAGUCUGCAACUCGACUUCAUGAAGUCGGAAUCGCUAGUAAUCGCGGAUCAGCAUACCGCGGUGAAUACGUUCCCGGGCCUU
rnacentral:rRNA from 1 species